rnacentral:rRNA from 1 species
AUUGAACGCUGGCGGCAGGCCUAAAACAUGCAAGUCGAGCGGAGCGGCGGACGGGUGAGUAAUGCCUAGGAAUCUGUCUGGUAGUGGGGGAUAACGUCCGGAAACGGGCGCUAAUACCGCAUACUAUCAGAUGAGCCUAGGUCGGAUUAGCUAGUUGGUGGGGUAAAGACCUACCAAGGCGACGAUCCGUAACUGGUCUGAGAGGAUGAUCAGUCACACUGGAACUGGGACACGGUCCAGACUCCUACGGGAGGCAGCAGUUGGGAAUAGUGGACAAUGGGCGAAAGCCUGGUCCAGCCCUGCAGCGUGUGUUAAGAAGGUCUUCGGAUUGUAAAGCACUUUAUGUUGGUAGGCGUUACCAACAGAAUAAGCACCGGCUAACUUCGUGCCAGGCGCCGCGGUAAUAC